UUAAGUGAAUAAGGGCGCACGGAGGAUGCCUUGGCACUAGGAGUCGAAGAAGGACGCGACAAACGGCGAAACGCCUCGGGGAGCUGUAAGUGAGCAUUGAUCCGGGGGUAUCCGAAUGGGGAAACCCGCUAGUGGUUAUACGCUAGCACCAUAUGGUGAAUACAUAGCCAUAUAGGAGACAGACCCAGGGAACUGAAACAUCUAAGUACCUGGAGGAAAAGAAAGAAAAAUCGAUUCCCGUAGUAGCGGCGAGCGAAGUGGGAAGAGCCCAAACCGGAUUUAUCCGGGGUUGUAGGACCUUCAUAAUUGACAAAUCAUGAUAGCCGAAUGGUCUGGGAAGGCCAACCGUAGGGGGUGAGAGUCCCGUAGGUGAAAUUGUGAGAUGCAUGGAAGGAAUCCUGAGUACGGCGGGACACGUGGAAUCCCGUCGGAAUCAACGAGGACCAUCUCGUAAGGCUAAAUACUACCUAGUGACCGAUAGUGAACCAGUACCGUGAGGGAAAGGUGAAAAGAACCCCGGAAGGGGAGUGAAAGAGAACCUGAAACCGUGUGCCUACAAAUAGUCAGAGCCCGUUAAUGGGUGAUGGCGUGCCUUUUGUAGAAUGAACCGGCGAGUUACGAUAUCGUGCGAGGUUAAGCAGAAGAUGCGGAGCCGUAGCGAAAGCGAGUCUGAAUAGGGCGAAGAGUACGAUGUUGUAGACCCGAAACCGUGUGAGCUAGCCAUGAGCAGGCUGAAGGUCAGGUAACACUGACUGGAGGGCCGAACCAGGGCACGUUGAAAAGUGCUUGGAUGACUUGUGGCUAGGGGUGAAAUUCCAAUCGAACACGGAUAUAGCUGGUUCUCUCCGAAAUAGCUUUAGGGCUAGCCUCGAUGUUAAGUCUACUGGAGGUAGAGCACUGAAUGGGUGAUGGCCCCACCUCGGGGUACUGAUCUCAAUCAAACUCCGAAUGCCAGAUAGAUAUAAUCGGGAGUCAGACUGUGGGUGAUAAGGUCCAUGGUCAAAAGGGAAAGAGCCCAGACCGCCAGCUAAGGCCCCCAAGUGUCCGUUAAGUGGAAAAGGAUGUGGAGAUGCACAGACAACUAGGAGGUUGGCUUAGAAGCAGCCAUCCUUUAAAGAGUGCGUAAUAGCUCACUAGUCGAGUGACUCUGCGCCGAAAAUGUACCGGGGCUAAACGGACCGCCGAAGCUGCGGAUUGACUUUAGAGUCAGUGGUAGGAGAGCGUUCUAACAGCGGUGAAGCAGUACCGGAAGGAGCUGUGGAGCGGUUAGAAGUGAGAAUGCCGGUGUGAGUAGCGAAAGAUAGGUGAGAAUCCUAUCCAUCGAAAGCCUAAGGUUUCCAGGGGAAGGCUCGUCCGCCCUGGGUAAGUCGGGACCUAAGGUGAGGCCGAAAGGCGUAGCCGAUGGACAACAGGUUGAUAUUCCUGUACCACUUAUUAAACUGAUGGAGUGACGGAGAAGGCUAAGUUGAGCGUGUGAUUGGAUUCACGUGUAAGCAGUGAGGUGGUCAUGUAGGCAAAUCCGCAUGGCAUAACAUUGAGCUGUGAUGCCGAAGCCGACUGGCGAAGUCAACUGACGUCACGCUUCCAAGAAAAGCUUCUAGGGUUAAUUUAAUAAGUGCCCGUACCGAUAACCGACACAGGUAGGCGAGGAGAGAAUCCUAAGAUGAGCGAGAGAACUCUUGUUAAGGAACUCGGCAAAAUGACCCCGUAACUUCGGGAGAAGGGGUGCUUGUGAAAGCAAGCCGCAGUGAAUAGGCCCAGGCGACUGUUUAUCAAAAACACAGGUCUCUGCUAAACCGCAAGGUGAUGUAUAGGGGCUGACGCCUGCCCGGUGCUGGAAGGUUAAGAGGAGAGGUUAGCGCAAGCGAAGCUUUGAAUUGAAGCCCCAGUAAACGGCGGCCGUAACUAUAACGGUCCUAAGGUAGCGAAAUUCCUUGUCGGG
rnacentral:rRNA from 1 species